GGGUGAGCAACCUAGGUUUUGAAAGCUCUCAAUUAAAAAAGGAACAAACAGUGUUCUCUGUGUUAUGUUUACGAUUCUCUGCAUUAAGCUGCCGAUUUGCUAAAACUUUGGCCAAAUCUCAAAUCAUUUUAAAAAUGGUGUUCAUCUGUCGCUACUUUUAAGUUUUAUUUUUUGGGCCAAAUCUCAAAUCAUUUUACGAUUUUUGGGCUUAUGAGUCUCUUGAACUUGUGUCACACUCUACCCAUAUUUGCUAAUGUAGUGGGCAAUUGCACUUUAGUGAUGUAUAUAUUGGGAAUUAUUUUAUAUUAUUUUCUUUUUUUUUUAAUUUACUAAUCGUUUCAUGUUUCAUAGCUGAUGAAUCAGAUUAGUUAUGAGAUGAAAUGUUAAAAUUAUUUUUUUAAACUUUAAAUACAUCUUUUUGUUUCUUAAACGUAUAAGUAUGAUUUCUAAAACUUGUCUCAUUAUAAAUGUAAAUAAGGGUGGUUAUUGAACGAUUUGCUUCUACAACAAUGGAGUUGGCUCAUUUCCACUCAUGGGAUGGUACUAUUUCAACCCAUCUAAAGUAUUUUUAGCUAAUUAAUAAAUUUAGAUUUUAUUGGUAUAAAUUUUCUG
rnacentral:lncRNA from 1 species